CAGCCGCGCCCGCAGCGGCGCAGCCUCCGCGUCCCUCUCCACGGCAACGCACUCGGCGGGCUGGAGCAACAGUUAGAGCCGCAGGCGUGGGGAGCUGGGGGCGGGACCAAGGGGCGUCCACGGAGAGCUGGCAGCCUGAGGGCCUUCUGCAGGUAUCCAGUGGAUGAACCCAGCCCCCAUCAGUGCCAGGCAAGAGAGGGGACCAAGAGAGGCUCUUCCCUGAGGACCGGAUGGGAGGGACAAGUGGCAUCUGACAGGUGACGGGAAGAGAAAAGCACCAGAUGUGCAAAGCCCCCGUGCUAGGAAAAAGCGUGGCUGCCUCUCCUGCCCACAGACAGACGGACGGCAUCAGUUUGUAUAGCUCUUCCGCCACCAUCGAGGGAGGCCACCUUGACCUGCCCACUUCGCAGGAGAGGAGGACACUUUGUCACCAACCUUGUUCCCUCAUAUCCAGGUAUCAAGGCCACAAGUCAGGUGCUGUCGGACCAUUUCAAACCCUCAGCCCUGUGAGGCAGGCCAUCCCUCACAGGCUCUCAGCAGCAACGUGACGUCCCAGACGGCGUGCCCGUGUGACCCCAGCCUGGCCCAGAGUCCAUGCUCUUGGUGCUGCCCCGCGCCCCGCUCUGUGCCCGCACCCCGCGCCACCCCCUCUCCUG